rnacentral:rRNA from 1 species
AUGGGGAAGGCCUACCGCAAGAAGCUGGGCGUGAACAAGGCGGCCACCCCCGCCGGAGGGAAGGGCAAGGGAGCCGGCGGCGGCAACGCUAAGCGCUCGGGAGGCGCAGCGGGCGCUGGCGGUGCCGGACCGGGAGGAGGCGCCAAGGGAGCAGGUGGUGCGGGCUGGGGAGGCGCGUCGACGUUCUCUGCCACCUACCAUAGCACCUUUCAGACGGCAGUGAAUGUCACGAACGAGUACUACAACCAGUGGGGGAACGACUGCUCGUCCGACGACGACGGCCCGCCAUCCGCUCCCGCCGACGAUAGCACAUUUGAGACGGCCGUGAAUGACACGAAUGAGUACUACCAAGAGGAGGAGGAUAACAACUGUUCGUCCCCAUUCGCUCCAGCCGACCAUAGCACCUUCGAAACGGCCGUGAAGAUCAUGAAUGAGCACUACGAUGACGACGAGAACCUCGGUUUGUCCAUGGAUAGCGAGGAAGAGGGCGUGCAGGAUGCUGAACCUGUGUCUGAUGCAGACGGGGAGGGUGAUGACGACGCCGGGAGUGGUGAUGACCACUUCGGUGACGAUGACUACUACGACGACGACAUAGCCGGCUGUUUCGACGCUUUCUACGAUCCCGGUGAUGCUGGGGAUGGAGCUGAUGACUGGUGGUAG